AUUGAACGCUGGCGGAAUGCUUUACACAUGCAAGUCGAACGGCAGCACGGACUUCGGUCUGGUGGCGAGUGGCGAACGGGUGAGUAAUGUAUCGGAACGUGCCCAGUCGUGGGGGAUAACGUAGUGAAAAUUACGCUAAUACCGCAUACGAUCUAUGGAUGAAAGCGGGGGAUCGCAAGACCUCGCGCGAUUGGAGCGGCCGAUAUCAGAUUAGGUAGUUGGUGGGGUAAAGGCCCACCAAGCCAACGAUCGGUAGCUGGUCUGAGAGGACGACCAGCCACACUGGAACUGAGACACGGUCCAGACUCCUACGGGAGGCAGCAGUGGGGAAUGUUGGACAAUGGGCGAAAGCCUGAUCCAGCCAUUCCGCGUGCAGGAUGAAGGCCCUCGGGUUGUAAACUGCUUUUGUACAGAACGAAAAGGUUUCUACUAAUACUAGGAGCUCAUGACGGUACUGUAAGAAUAAGCAUCGGCUAACUACGUGCCAGCAGCCGCAGUAA
rnacentral:rRNA from 1 species